UGGGUAACCCAAGCCUCGGCAGGUACAGUUCCUCCCUCAGUGGCACCCGAGCUCUGUGAGGGCAAGACUUUGUUCGGCUGUGGGCUAUGCCCCCAACCCCUCGGACAGUGCCUGCACAGGUGGGCAUUUUUGUUGGAUGAAGGAUUUUCUGUUAAAUGUGUCCAGCACACACACACAAAAAUAAAGCCCAGCAGAUGCUGUUCCAUUGUUUGCUGACUUGCAUCGUUUCUAUGAGAAGUCUGCAGUCUUUUGCAGCAUUGUUUUCCUAUGUAUGCUUGUCUCCUCCCACCCCACUCACCCCAGCUGCUUUCCACAUUCUCUCUCUUUAAUUUUCAGCAGUCUGCCCAUGAUGUGCCUAAAUAGGACUUUCUUUGCAUUCAUCCUGGCUGGGGCUCACUGAACUUUCUGAAUCUGUAGAUUAAUUUUCUUUUUUCAAUAAACCUUGG
rnacentral:lncRNA from 1 species